ACUUUGUCUCUGUCCGCCUUUAAAGUGAUCCCUCCCCCCAUGACUCUUCAACCUGCUACACUCAUUAACCCUUUUGCUUCUAAAAGGAGCACACUCAAUUGUGCAAGAAGCUGCUGCACUGAAAUGAAGCAGAAUGGAGGAAUGUUUCCUGGGGACAACUUUGGGAUAGGUCUCCCGAAGAUCGCGCAACUCUCUGGAACGCUCGGCUUCCAUCUCUGCAGGUCUUCUGCCCGAGCAAGGAAGUUUCUGCUGCCUUCUUCAGAGGACGUCAUCAAAUGCCCACCCAGCUGUUUGCAAAGGAGUUCCUAUCCAUUCACCAGGCUGUUUGUGUUGGUGGUGGGGUGAGGUGGUGUUCCUGUCAGAGGGGUCUACUGACACAGAGGCACCUGCUGUCUGCAUCGGGAAGGAAGCCAGUGUCAUGCCAUUUCACCAGAAGCAGCAGGCAUAGCCCACGUUGCUUUGCGCAUGGGGACCUUGAAAGAAGCUGGCUGAAAAUGGCCCUCCACAGUCGGUUCUGCCGUCUCAGCAUCCACUGUGUAUCCGCCUAUCUCUAGGAACCAAUAGACUGCAAGCCCACACGUGAGCCACAAGCGAGAGGCCACUGCAUACAGAAUCGCAGGCCGGCCUCUUGACAAGAACUGAGCCCAGCCUUACCGGUCCCUCUGCUGGAGAGAGGAGGAAAAACAGGAGGAAAAACAGGACUCGGGAGAUAAACAAGCGCAGGGCAGAGCCACACCGUGCAGUGGAAUGUGGACUUUAUCCAGCGGACAUGAAAACUCGAGUAACGUUAUUAGUUGCUAGUAGACACAGCAAAGCAGGGCAUUGGAGGCCUGGGAGGGAGGGAAAGUUCACUUCCAGAGACAAACACGAUCUGAGCUCUGAAUCAAAAUAUUAUAUUGGCUGGGUAGGGGGUUCUAGCCGGGGAGGAGGGCCCAUUGUGCAGGUUUUACAUGAUGCCUAUGGGGGUAUAAAUCUCUAGAACGUUCAAGUUUGCUAUUCUGUAAGUUAGUGAAUAUAGGCCUUUAGGAAAAUUUGUUUUGUUUCAGGUAGCAGGAAAAAUUUUUUUAACUUAAUGGAAAUUGUAUUAUUUUAUUGCCUUUUCUUUGAGAUGGGGGUCUGCUAGAUAGUCCAGGACGGUCUCAGACAUGUUAAUCCUCCAGCCUCGGCCUCCAGCGUGCUGGGAUUAUAGGCCCUGUGUAGGAAUUAUGUUUUCAAUUAUGUGUAUGUACACGUGGGUAUUUGCAUGCGAGUGAAGGUACCUACAGAGCCCUUGGUUACUCUUGGAGUUGGAGUUACAGUUAGUUACAAGUUACUUGAUGUGGGUACUGGGAAUUGGACCAGCAUCCUCUGGAAAAGCAUGAAAUGCUCUUAACCACCCACCAAGCCAUCUUUCCAGCCCUACAUAUUUGUUUUAAUUGGAAGUUUCUAGUUUGUCCUGAAAAUGCACAAUAUAUGGCUGUAGGGAGUUCUGUCUGUAUUCUGUCUACCCCAGUGCCACUGCCAUCAGCCCCUGGUCCUGGCUCCAGGUCCUCCCCAAUUUAAACCUGACUUCCUUUGGCCUUUGGGAGCCUAAGUGUUAGGCUGGGGUUUCCCAGGCUGUUGCUGCAUGCUUCCACCAGGAGGCUCUGUGACCAGGGCUUUGGAGGGAAGGGUGGGGAGGAAGUGUUGUGAGCUAGUUCCAGGAGGACGUGAAGGAAAUGCUGCCUUCCUUCCUGGCCAGGGAGUCCCAAUGAGCAAUUUCAGCUCAGUGGAGAGUCAGACCUAAGAGGCCCUUGAGGAUAAAUGUUUUGAAAGAGACCAAGAGAAGUGAGGUUACAGGCCAAUCGCCAAUGAUCCCGACCCUCCGCAGUCUGUCAGACGCUCUGUCACAGGAAGAGGGCUGGUUGCCCCUUGAGAUGGUCAGGAAGGGAACAGACACUAAGAGCUCCAAAUGGCAGGUGCUCUCUGGGAGUGGCUUACUCGCAUUCUCCAUCUCGGGGAAAGGAGGAAAGAUAGAAGUCAGGAUCAGACUACCCUAAGUGUGCAGCCUGAGGAAAAGAGUGAGGAAUGAGCCAGCCAGGGAAUCAGCAAGAUGCACAGCCUUGUCUGCCUGCCCACCUCAGCCAAGAAAAAUUUCAGUUUGUUUGUCAAAUAAAUGGUCCAGGAAUUUGCUGGGUCUCCAUCUGUGUAUAGGCAGGCAUUGUUUUCCAUUUCAUAUCCAGCUCGGAGCUGUGGGACUUGGGCUGACUGAGGCCAGGGACCUGACCUCCAGCCAACCUGCUCUGGGUAUCCCCUGAACUCUUUCCUCAUUGUAGUGGGCUCUGUGGCUUUGACUCAAAGAUCGUUAUCUAUGAGGGUUCAGAACCCUGCUUCCUCCCUGGUCCGUGGCUGCUUUUUCCUGGGUUUGUUUUCUUUGGCUGCUACUGGGAUGUUUUUCUGUGAAAUGCUUUUUGCCACAGAGGGAAGAAAGGAGGCUAGGCAGGAUGUGUGUGGAGGGAAGAGAAUCUGGGGGAUGGGGGUGCCCUGUCAGAAGAAUGGUGCCUAUAAGUCAAUGCCUGCUGGUAAUUCCCUAUACCUCUACUUUCUUAUCCUUACCCUGAUGGGGGGGCAUACAAAGUGUUAAUGUAAUGCAAAAAUUAUAAAUUAUACAAAGCAUUAAUACAUGGUUAAUGACAGCACAACUCCUGUUCCCCAUGUUUCAUUCAUUCAUUCAUUCAUUCAUUCAUUCAUUCAUGUGUUUCUCCUAUAAGCAAUUUCAGUAAGCACAACCAGCCAAUAACACAGGUACAUCCCACUCCACAACACUCAGGAACAAGUGUUGGCAUCAUCUUAAUUGUCUUAAUAUUAUUGGGUUUUGUUUGUUUAGGGUUUUUUGAGACUUAUUUUUAUUUUAUGUGUAUGACUGUUUGCCUGCCUGUAGGCAUAAUGUUACUGUGCACUGUGUAAAGAUUACCGUUGCAUCAGUCAAAUGCUGACUUCUCUGCCCCCAAAUCUGGCUGCAAUCUGGACAUGGCAUUGUAACACUUAUUUUAAGGAUCUCCCCUCUUGGGCUCAGCAGGUAAGAGCACUGACUGCUUUUCCAAAGGUCCUGAGUUCAAAUCCCAGCAACCACAUGGUGGCUCACAACCACCUGUCAUGAGAUCUGAUGCCCUCAGACGCUUCAGUGUACUUAUAUAUGAUAAUAAAUAAAUCUUUGGGCCGGAGAGAGCAGGGACUGGGCAAGCGGGACUGACUGGAGCCAGCAGAGGUCCUAAAAAGUCAAUUCCCAACAACCCCAUGAUUUGUCAAUAAAAGCUGGUCAGCCAAUGACAGAGCAGAAGAGAGAAUAGGGCUGGACUUCCCAUCCCAUCGAGAGGAAGGGGAGAGGAAGAGAGGGUUCAACGGUAGGAGAGGGUUGAGGAAAAGCCAUGGUAACACCUGAAGCAGAGACAGCCAGAUCAAUACUAAAUGCAUGUAUCUUGGGGAUUUUGGCUAGGAGGUAGCCAGAUUAGCUUAGAUGAUUAGAAUAGAUUAAUAACUGACCAGUAGUUGUGCCAUAAAGCUGAUUGAAUAAAUCUAAUAGUGUGUCUCAUUUUGGGAGCUAGCCAGGGUAAAGAAACAUUAUCGCUUAUAAAAUUGCAUUAACACCUGCCUGUGUAUUGGGUAUACGACAGCAUGCCAUGUCCUUGGAAGGUGUUGAAUCUCCUGGAACCAAAGUUACAGAGAGUUGUGAGCUGCCAUGUGGGUGCUGGGAACUGAACCCUGUCAGGAGCCAUCAUAGAUAUUCUAAGGCUAGCAGGUGACCUUCCUGGAGGUGGUUUCACCACUUUUGCAUGGUCUGCAAUGGGUAAACUCUAUGAGGCAAGGUCCCAAAGAGAUUUCAUCUCAGGAUUGCUUCUUGCAGCUCAUAUGCCUUUCCUGUCAUUAUUAAAUUAAUAUAAUAACCCCUGAGCAUAAAUCCACCCUAUUGAGCAGAUCUCCUGCGGACCAGCCUAAAGAUGAACUUUCAUGAAUUAAUGCUGUUUAGAUGAAUUAAUGAUUUUAUAGAAUUCCUGAUUUGAUUCAAAUAAUUUUAGGAAGAAAUUUUCUAGAGAUGGUUUUAGUUGCUUUGCUAGAAAGAUGUAAAAAAAUUAGAAUAAAGAAUAGAAUGUGCCCACUUCUCAGAAUAGUAAGUAAAGGCUGCAUACUAAGGAAUACAAUGAGCUUUCAUAAUCACAGAGAGAGGUAGACUUGGGACAAUUUUGUGUUCAAGGAAAAACAUUUAGGUCCAAGGAUAAAUCCACAGGUGUGCACUCUGAUAAGGCAAGGCCAUGUAAAACUGUUGCUUUAAACUUUUAAUGAGUAUAUUAAAAUGAAACACUGCUUUGAACUUAAUAUCAACUUCCUUCUGUAACUCCCAUUCUAUGUAACAGUUUAUCCCUGAGGUAAACUUUUAGGAACUUUUGUCUAAGAAGGUAUAAAAAGGCCAAAGGAAAGAAAUAAGGUUGGGGGCUCUGCCCCAUCCAUCCAUCCAUCCAUCCAUCCAUCCAUUCAUCCAAUGUGCAUGCCUGUUUGUUUAUAUGUACUAUGGAGGUAUAUGCGUAUGUAUGUAAGCCUGCAUGAACACUUGCGGAGUUGAUGUGACAGAAAGCUGGGCCUGACCAGAGUGUGUGUGUAUGAAUGUAUAAAAGCUAUAAAAAGCUAAAAGCAAUAAAUAAAAGUGAUUUAGCCAU